CCCUAUACAGUCAUAUUCUAUUAGUUUCAUUUUUUGUUACGAAAACUUAUUUCAUUUAAUACUAUGAAAAGUAUGUUUUAGUAGCAUCAACUGUAGUUUGAGUUAAGAGUAUUUGAUUAUUUGAGUAGAACUCAUUUCAGUUCAAGUCAUUCGAAGUAUUUUUGAAUCUGGAUUCUCAGGUUGGGAACUGACUUUAGUCC
rnacentral:lncRNA from 1 species